rnacentral:rRNA from 1 species
AUGGGGCUAAGUAGGUGUGUGCACCUGGGGCUUGCCUUUGCGCACACGCACCACGCCGAACCCUGGUGUUUCGGCUUCAUCCUCGCGAGAAGCCCUCGAUUAAAACCGCGGGCACCAGCACCCCUCAUGUCCGUUCCCCCGGGCAGUGCGACGCGGUGCGUCAGGUCUGAGCUAAUCUACGACAGGGGGCUCACAAGACGCAAAUGUGCUGGCCUUCAUGAUUCCAGGACUUGGAAUCAUACCAGCCGAUGGUACCAUAUAAAUGGAAAUAACCGAUGCAAGUCAAAGAAGGAUUGGUCGGUGCUGCCGGCUGGCAUCAAGUUUGAUCCCACGGAUCAGGAGCUGAUCGAGCACCUUGAGGCCAAAGUGGGUGCUGACUGCACGCGAUCUCACCCUCUCAUCGGUUUGUUCAUACCAACCAUUGACAGCGAGCACGGCAUAUGCUACACCCAUCCUGAGAAACUUCCAGGUAUCACACUAAGUGGCCUAAGCAAGCAUUUCUUCCAGGACAACUCCAAGGCGUUCAAAAGGGGCACGUGGACGCGUCGCAAGAUACAGUCGGAGUGCGGCAUGCACGCGAUGUGGCACAAGACCGGCAAUACCUUGAUGGUGAUGGUCAACGGCCGGCAGACGGGCAGUAAAAAGGUUCUGUUGCUGCACACCAACAAGAACUUCGACCAGCAGAGGACCAACUAG